AUUGAACGCUGGCGGCAUGCUUUACACAUGCAAGUCGAACGGCAGCACAGGGAGCUUGCUCCUGGGUGGCGAGUGGCGAACGGGUGAGUAAUGUAUCGGAACGUGCCUGGUAGUGGGGGAUAACUACUCGAAAGAGUGGCUAAUACCGCAUGAGAUCUUUGGAUGAAAGCGGGGGACCUUCGGGCCUCGUGCUACUGGAGCGGCCGAUAUCAGAUUAGGUUGUUGGUGGGGUAAAGGCCUACCAAGCCUGCGAUCUGUAGCUGGUCUGAGAGGACGACCAGCCACACUGGGACUGAGACACGGCCCAGACUCCUACGGGAGGCAGCAGUGGGGAAUUUUGGACAAUGGGCGCAAGCCUGAUCCAGCAAUGCCGCGUGCAGGACGAAGGCCUUCGGGUUGUAAACUGCUUUUGUACAGAACGAAAAGUCUCUGGCUAAUAUCUAGAGAUCACGACGGUACUGUAAGAAUAAGCACCGGCUAACUACGUG
rnacentral:rRNA from 1 species